UUUUGAGAGAUCUUAUAAAUAACUGGUGUGAUAUCGUAUCUGUCAUCUGGCAGCACUGGCAUAUGUUGACAACAAAAUUCAAACUACAUAAUAUAAGCAAACCAACUUCGUCUCUCGCUAAUCGCUUCACAUCCGUUGACCGUUAUUUUCGAUUACCUGAAUCUUCUACCUUUUAUUACCUGACGACCUUGCUUGCUCAACGGAUUUUGUACCUGCUUAAACGACUGACCACGGCUAUUCUCACUCGGACCGGACUCGCUCACAAAAAAUGGAUAAAAAAAAACAGAAGCCUUACUCGGAAUAUGAGAGGCAACUGCUUGUACAGUUGGUUCAGUCAAAGAUUGGCAUUCUAGAGAACAGGAAGACGGACGCCGUUUCCCAAAAAAAGAAACACGAGGCUUGGGAAGAAUUAGCAAUAGAAUUUAAUAACUCUAACGUGUCACAUACUUACAAUUUUUUUUCGAUUUUAGGCUGAUUCUAAACAAUUAAAAAAGAUGUGGCAAAAUAUGAAGGCAAAAGCUAGGGAUGCCAAAACCCUUGAAGCCCAAAGGAAGAGGACAGGAGGAGGACCAGCACCGCCUGAAAUGGGGCCAAUGGACACUCAAGUGAUUGCAGUCAUGCCACAAAUAAUGCCAUCAAUAGAUGUGCCAAUAGACUGUGACACAUUAACUACAGUAGAAGCUGGUACUGGUUAUGACAACGACGGUGAAAGCUGGAGACCAAAGAGGGCAAGAGUGUCCAGUAUAGAGGCCACACUUGAAUCUGUAAUUCAGCCGGGAACAAGCCAGGACUGGACUGAUGAAGCUGGGUCACUAAAAGUGAACCCUCUCAGCUAUCAGCUACACCAUCAGCGAUCAGAAAAAAUAAAACUUCAUUUGAGGAUAUUAAAAAAAAAUUGCUGUGGCAAGAGUUAGACAACAACAAAAAAAAAUUUGAGAUAGAAGUGGAACACAUGAAACUAAAAAAUCAGUUAGAAAUCGAAUUUCUUCGACAUAAAUAUAAAUUAGAACUAGAAAUUUUACAGUUUAAAAAAGAAUCUGAAAAUAAAUGAUUAAAAUGAAACAA